rnacentral:rRNA from 1 species
GAUCAUGGCUCAGGAUAAACGCUGGCGGCGCACAUAAGACAUGCAAGUCGAACGGACUUAAUCGAAAUAUUUAUAUUUUGAAGCGGUUAGUGGCGGACUGGUGAGUAACGCGUAAGGAACCUGCCUAUUAGAGGGAAUAACAGUGAGAAAUCAUUGCUGAUACCGCAUAUGCCAUAGAUAUCACAUGAUAACAGUGGUAAAGGAGCAAUCCGCUAAUAGAUGG